GACGAACCGUCCUAACGUUAUUCGGAUUCACUGGGCUUAAAGGGCGCGUAGGCGGUUUACCAAGUCCGAGGUGAAAUCUUUCGGCUCAACCGGAAAAGUGCCUUGGAUACUGGUGAACUUGAGGGAGGUAGGGGCAUGUGGAACUUCCGGUGGAGCGGUGAAAUGCGUUGAUAUCGGAAGGAACGCCGGUGGCGAAAGCGACGUGCUGGCCCUCUUCUGACGCUGAGGCGCGAAAGCUAGGGGAGCAAACGGG
rnacentral:rRNA from 1 species